GACAGAGGGUGCAAACGUUGUUCGGAAUUACUGGGCGUAAAGCGUGUGUAGGCGGCUACAUAAGUCGGAUGUGAAAGCCCCGGGCUCAACCCGGGAAGUGCACUCGAAACCGCGCGGCUCGAGUCCCGGAGAGGAAGGUGGAAUUCUCGGUGUAGAGGUGAAAUUCGUAGAUAUCGGGAGGAACACCGGCGGCGAAAGCGGCCUUCUGGACGAGGACUGACGCUGAGAUGCGAAAGCGUGGGGAGCAAACAGG
rnacentral:rRNA from 1 species